rnacentral:rRNA from 1 species
UACGUAGGGGGCAAGCGUUGUCCGGAAUCAUUGGGCGUAAAGCGCGCGUAGGCGGUCCGAUAAGUCGGUUGUGAAAGUCCAGGGCUCAACCCUGGGAUGCCGACCGAUACUGUCGGACUAGAGUUCGGAAGAGGCGAGUGGAAUUCCCGGUGUAGCGGUGAAAUGCGCAGAUAUCGGGAGGAACACCAAUGGCGAAGGCAGUUCGCUGGGACGUUACUGACGCUGAGACGCGAAAGCGUGGGGAGCAAACAGG